ensembl:lncRNA
AAUAGGGAACACUGUAAACUGAAAGAGUUGCAUACUUCUUCACCCAGCACGGUCACUGAGCUGGCAAGCUAAAGUUAGCUAGUGAGUCACAGAAAUGUACGUUCAGUCUGUUAAUUAUUUCAGUCCGAUUGGACUUAUCCUACUCAAAUCAACAUGGCUCAACAUAGUUUUUUCGUUUUUGACCUCGACAUUCUUGUUGGAUAGAUACUUUGAUAGCUAACAUGUGGGCUAAUCUCCUUUGGAUGCCUCCAUCUAGUUCCCUAGAGCAGCAGACCGGCCCUCCAUUCCCAAACCUGAAGCCCCCUGUCCCCAGCAGGAAAUACCAAGAAAAACUUCCUAUUGAGGAAAUAUCUGUCAACCAGGUUCGGUGGGUGACAGGUAAGCGUGUUUCCACAAAGAUGUUCCAGACCUGGAGUGGCACGCUGGAACUUCCAGAGGCUUGUAGACCUGAAGCAGUGUGAGAUCUGACACCCCUACUAGCUCAACCACAGUUCUCACAGCUGCAGUCGUCUGCUCCUGCACCUGCUACACCGGCCACGACAGGUGAUUCAGAUCUGCCAUGCACUCCACCACUACCCCAGACAGCCUCACCCAGAAGUGCAUGCACCGGGCCUAUCACAAAGCAGAGAUGGGUGGCUGACAAGGAAAAAUAAAAUAUAACAUGCACACACACUCUCUCUCUGUUACACACACAUUAUCCCCAAUGUAAAUAAAUUGUAAUUAUUUUAUUUUAGGAUUGGAGAUAUCUUACGCCUACAUAUCCAUUAUCAAUAGCUACAUAAUUACUCUAUCCAAUCAAAG